rnacentral:lncRNA from 1 species
AUAUAAUGUAGUCUACGAAAAUCAGAUGUAUCUGUUACCUAGUAAAAUAAUUCCAAUGACAGUUAAUAUAUGCUUUGGAGACUAUAAACCCAUCUAUUUUUGCAAACAUCUGUGAGGUGGACAUUGGUGGAUUAGAUGGAAUUUCUGAUUCAAAGUCUAGAGCUAUAGAAGUGUUAAAGCGUGGCAUUGAUUUUCCUCUGGAAACAAAGUAUAGAGGUAUAGAGUUUUAAAGCUUGACAUUGGUUACUAAGUUUUAUAAAAGGCUCGCAGUUUGGAAAAGGAAAAUGAUGUUUAAGGAGGGGCGUUAUUGUAGCAAAAGUUGGCCUAAAUCUGUGAUUGAGUACUUUGGUGGUGAUGAUCCGCUUUGUCUGCACUCAUUGCAGGGAAAUACUCACUAAGAAAACUGAUUUUAUGGAAGCUAUAUGUCACGCAAUCAGGAAUGAACUUGAAAUUAGGUUUUGAUUGGAUCUAUGGAAAAA